CUGCUGCCUUCCGUAGGAGUCUGGGCCGUGUCUCAGUCCCAGUGUGGCCGUCCACCCUCUCAGGCCGGCUGCUGAUCGUCGCUUUUGGUGGGCCGUUACCCCGCCAACUGGCUAAUCAGACGCGGGCCCAUCCUGUACCACCGGAGUUUUCAAAGGAUUACCAUGCGGUAUUCCCUAUUAUGCGGUAUUAGCACCUAUUUCUAAGUGUUAUCCCCCGGUACUACGGGCAGGUUAGUCCCACGCGUUACUCACCCGUCCGCCACUAA
rnacentral:rRNA from 1 species